rnacentral:rRNA from 1 species
UACGGAGGGUGCGAGCGUUGUCCGGAAUCAUUGGGCGUAAAGGGCGCGUAGGUGGCCCGGUCAGUUCGUGGUGAAAGCGCGGGGCUCAACCCUGCGUCGGCCAUGAAUACUGCCGCGGCUGGAGCACUGUAGAGGCAGGCGGAAUUCCCGGUGUAGAGGUGAAAUUCGUAGAUAUCGGGAGGAACACCAGUGGCGAAGGCGGCGAUCUGGGAAGAUACUGACGCUGAGGUGCGAAAGCGUGGGGAGCAAACAGG